rnacentral:rRNA from 1 species
UAGAGCUACUGAUUGGGCUAGGGGCCCCACCAGGUUACCAAACCCAGACAAACUCCGAAUACCGUAAUGUUAGAAACUGGCAGUGAGACUGCGGGGGAUAAGCUUCGUAGUCGAGAGGGAAAGAGCCCAGACCGCCGUCUAAGGUCCCUAAGUUAAUUCUAAGUGGUAAAGGAUGUUGAGGUGCCGAGACAACUAGGAGGUUCGCUUAGAAGCAGCUAUCCUUAAAAGAGUGCGUAAUAGCUCACUAGUCGAG